UACAGAGGGGGCAAGCGUUGUUCGGAAUUACUGGGCGUAAAGGGCGCGUAGGCGGCCGCCUAAGUCAGACGUGAAAUCCCUCGGCUCAACCGGGGAACUGCGUCUGAUACUGGGUGGCUUGAAUCCGGGAGAGGGAUGCGGAAUUCCAGGUGUAACGGUGAAAUGCGUAGAUAUCUGGAGGAACACCGGUGGCGAAGGCGGCAUCCUGGACCGGCAUUGACGCUGAGGCGCGAAAGCCAGGGGAGCAAACGGG
rnacentral:rRNA from 1 species